AUUGAACGCUGGCGGCAUGCCUUACACAUGCAAGUCGAACGGCAGCACGGGAGCAAUCCUGGUGGCGAGUGGCGAACGGGUGAGUAAUAUAUCGGAACGUGCCCAGUCGUGGGGAUAACGUAGCGAAAGCUACGCUAAUACCGCAUACGAUCUACGGAUGAAAGCGGGGGAUCGCAAGACCUCGCGCGAUUGGAGCGGCCGAUAUCAGAUUAGGUAGUUGGUGAGGUAAAGGCUCACCAAGCUGACGAUCUGUAGCUGGUCUGAGAGGACGACCAGCCACACUGGGACUGAGACACGGCCCAGACUCCUACGGGAGGCAGCAGUGGGGAAUUUUGGACAAUGGGCGCAAGCCUGAUCCAGCAAUGCCGCGUGCAGGAUGAAGGCCU
rnacentral:rRNA from 1 species